AAUGAACGCUGGCGGCAUGCCUAACACAUGCAAGUCGAACGAAGGCUUCGGCCUUUAGUGGCGCACGGGUGCGUAACGCGUGGGAAUCUGCCCUCAGGUUCGGAAUAACAGCGAGAAAUUGCUGCUAAUACCGGAUGAUAUCGCGAGAUCAAAGAUUUAUCGCCUGAGAAUGAGCCCGCGUAGGAUUAGCUAGUUGGUGUGGUAAAGGCGCACCAAGGCGACGAUCCUUAGCUGGUCUGAGAGGAUGAUCAGCCACACUGGGACUGAGACACGGCCCAGACUCCUACGGGAGGCAGCAGUGGGGAAUAUUGGACAAUGGGCGGAAGCCUGAUCCAGCAAUGCCGCGUGAGUGAUGAAGGCCUUAGGGUUGUAAAGCUCUUUUACCCGGGAUGAUAAUGACAGUACCGGGAGAAUAAGCACCGGCUAACUACGUGCCAGCAGCCGCGGUAAUACGUAGGGUGCGAGCGUUAAUCGGAAUUACUGGGCGUAAAGCGAGCGCAGACGGUUAUUUAAGCAGGAUGUGAAAUCCCCGGGCUUAACCUGGGAACUGCGUUCUGAACUGGAUAGCUAGAGUGUGUCAGAGGGGGGUAGAAUUCCACGUGUAGCAGUGAAAUGCGUAGAGAUGUGGAGGAAUACCGAUGGCGAAGGCAGCCCCCUGGGAUAACACUGACGUUCAUGCUCGAAAGCGUGGGUAGCAAACAGG
rnacentral:rRNA from 1 species